GGGCCAGUAGAUCAACUCGGCUAGAUCGCCUGCUCUGCAAGCAGGAGGCUGGGGGUUCAAAUCCCUCCUGGUCCA
rnacentral:tRNA from 1 species